GAUGAACGCUGGCGGCGUGCCUAAUACAUGCAAGUCGAGCGAACGGACGAGAAGCUUGCUUCUCUGAUGUUAGCGGCUGACGGGUGAGUAACACGUGGAUAACCUACCUAUAAGACUGGGAUAACUUCGGGAAACCGGAGCUAAUACCGGAUGAUAUUUUGAACCGCAUGGUUCAAAAGUUCAAGACGGUCUUGCUGUCACUUAUAGAUGGAUCCGCGCUGCAUUAGCUAGUUGGUAAGGUAACGGCUUACCAAGGCAACGAUGCAUAGCCGACCUGAGAGGAUGAUCGGCCACACUGGAACUGAGACACGGUCCAGACUCCUACGGGAGGCAGCAGUAGGGAAUAUUCCGCAAUGGGCGAAAGCCUGACGGAGCAACGCCGCGUGAGUGAUGAAGGUCUUCGGAUCGUAAAACUCUGUUAUUAGGGAAGAACAUAUGUGUAAGUAACUGUGCACAUCUUGACGGUACCUAAUCAGAAAGCCACGGCUAACUACGUG
rnacentral:rRNA from 1 species